UUAAAUUGAAGAGUUUGAUCAUGGCUCAGAUUGAACGCUGGCGGCAGGCCUAACACAUGCAAGUCGAACGGUAACAGGAAGUAGCUUGCUGCUUCGCUGACGAGUGGCGGACGGGUGAGU
rnacentral:rRNA from 1 species